AGAGUGAACGCUGGCGGCGUGCCUAACACAUGCAAGUCGCGCGCGAAAGGGUAGCAAUCCCUGAGUAAAGCGGCGAACGGGUGAGUAACACGUGGUUAACCUGCCCAGAUGUGGGGGAUACCCCGGGGAAACUCGGGACAAUACCGCAUAUGGUUCUUCGGGCGUGGGCCUGAGGGAGCAAAGCCGGGGACCGUAAGGCCUGGCGCAUCUGGAGGGGACCGCGGCCGAUUAGCUAGUUGGCGGGGUAAUGGCCCACCAAGGCGACGAUCGGUAGCCGGCCUGAGAGGGUGAACGGCCACACCGGAACUGAGACACGGUCCGGACUCCUACGGGAGGCAGCAGUGGGGAAUUUGCGCAAUGGGCGAAAGCCUGACGCAGCAACGCCGCGUGGAGGAUGAAGGAUCUCUGAUCCGUAAACUCCGUGUCCGGCCGGAAGAAAGUGGCCGGGUGACGUAAUCGACGCCCCGGUCUUCGACGUCGUACCGGCAAACGGAACGCCCCGGACUAACCGUCCGUCGCC
rnacentral:rRNA from 1 species